UACGGAGGGGGCGAGCGUUAUUCGGAAUUAUUGGGCGUAAAGGGCGCGUAGGCGGCCCUGUAAGUCAAAGGUGAAAUCCCUCGGCUCAACUGAGGAACUGCCUUUGAAACUGCAGGGCUUGAGGCCGGGAGGGGGUAGCGGAAUUCCCAAUGUAGCGGUGAAAUGCGUAGAUAUUGGGAGGAACACCAGUGGCGAAGGCGGCUACCUGGACCGGUUCUGACGCUGAGGCGCGAAAGCGUGGGGAGCGAACAGG
rnacentral:rRNA from 1 species